UACGGAGGGAGCUAGCGUUGUUCGGAAUUACUGGGCGUAAAGCGCACGUAGGCGGCUUUGUAAGUUAGAGGUGAAAGCCCGGGGCUCAACCCCGGAAUGAGCCUUUAAGACUGCAUCGCUUGAAUCCGGGAGAGGUGAGUGGAACUGCGAGUGUAGAGGUGAAAUUCGUAGAUAUUCGCAAGAACACCAGUGGCGAAGGCGGCUCACUGGCCCGGUACUGACGCUGAGGUGCGAAAGCGUGGGAGCAACAGG
rnacentral:rRNA from 1 species